CCUACGGGAGGCAGCAGUGAGGAAUAUUGGUCAAUGGCCGGAAGGCUGAACCAGCCAUGCCGCGUGAAGGUCAGUGCCCUAUGGGCGUUAAACUUCUUUUGUGCGGGAGCAAUAAUGGUCACGUGUGGCCAGACGAGAGUACCGUACGAAUAAGCAUCGGCUAACUCCGUGCCAGCAGCCGCGGUAAUACGUGGGAUGCAAGCGUUAUCCGGAUUUAUUGGGUUUAAGGGGUGCGUAGGCUGUGAGGUAAGUCAGCGGUGAAAUGCCCCCGCUCAACGGGGUGAAGUGCCAUUGAUACUGCCUUGCUGGAAUGCGGAUGCCGUGGGAGGAAUGUGUGGUGUAGCGGUGACAUGCAUAGAUAUCACACAGAACACCGAUUGCGAAGGCAUCUCACGAAUCCGCGAUUGACGCUGAUGCACGAAAGCGUGGGUAUCAAACAGGAUUAGAUACCCGAGUAGUC
rnacentral:rRNA from 1 species